rnacentral:rRNA from 1 species
AUUCAGCAAUGGAUAACUGAGUGGCGAACGGGUGAGUAACACGUGGGUGACCUACCUUCGAGUGGGGGAUAACGUCCCGAAAGGGACGCUAAUACCGCAUAACAUCCUGCCUUUGAACAGGCGGUGAUCAAAGCCGGGGACCGUAAGGCCCGGCGCUUGAUGAGGGGCCCGCGUCUGAUUAGCUAGUUGGUGAGGUAAUGGCCCACCAAGGCGACGAUCAGUAUCCGGCCUGAGAGGGCGGACGGACACACUGGGACUGAGACACGGCCCAGACUCCUACGGGAGGCAGCAGUGGGGAAUUGUUCACAAUGGGCGCAAGCCUGAUGACGCAACGCCGCGUGGAGGAUGAAGGUCUUCGGAUUGUAAACUCCUGUUGCCCGGGACGAAAAGCUCUGACCUAACACGUCGGAGUCUGACGGUACCGGGUGAGGAAGCCCCGGCUAACUCUGUGCCAGCAGCCGCGGUAAUACAGAGGGGGCAAGCGUUGUUCGGAAUUACUGGGCGUAAAGGGCGCGUAGGCGGCCUUCUAAGUCGAACGUGAAAUCCCCGGGCUCAACCCGGGAACUGCGUCCGAUACUGGAAGGCUUGAAUCCGGGAGAGGGAUGUGGAAUUCCAGGUGUAGCGGUGAAAUGCGUAGAUAUCUGGAGGAACACCGGUGGCGAAGGCGACAUCCUGGACCGGUAUUGACGCUGAGGCGCGAAAGCCAGGGGAGCAAACGGGAUUAGAUACCCCGGUAGUCCUGGCCCUAAACGAUGAAUGCUUGGUGUGGCGGGUAUCGAUCCCUGCCGUGCCG